AAACAGCCCCUUAUGUUUUGAUUCUUUGGCAGUUUUGGACCCCCAAGGAAAAAAAAAAAAAAAAAUUGACACGUGGCACCUCACUUAAGGUGCCACGUCAGCGUUGACCGAGUCAACAAUGGACUGGGGGUCCAAAACUGCCAAAGAAACAAAACAUAGGGGGCUGUUU
rfam:Medicago truncatula strain A17 chromosome 4, whole genome shotgun sequence.